rnacentral:rRNA from 1 species
UACGUAGGGGGCGAGCGUUGUCCGGAUUUAUUGGGCGUAAAGAGCUCGUAGGCGGCUCAGUAAGUCAGGUGUGAAAACUCCAGGCUCAACCUGGAGACGCCAUCUGAUACUGCUGUGGCUAGAGUCCGGUAGGGGAGCAUGGAAUUCCUGGUGUAGCGGUGAAAUGCGCAGAUAUCAGGAGGAACACCAGUGGCGAAGGCGGUGCUCUGGGCCGGAACUGACGCUGAGGAGCGAAAGCGUGGGGAGCAAACAGG